rnacentral:lncRNA from 1 species
CCGGAUACUGGCAAGUUCGGAUCAAGGAGGGAGACGAAGCAAAGACUACAAUGGUAACCAGAUAUGGAGCCUUUGAAUUUAAAGUGAUGUCUUUUGGUUUGACAAACGCUCCAGCAACGUUUUGUACUAUGAUGAAUCAGGUACUUCACGGGUUCUUAAAUGAUUUUGUCGUGGUGUACUCGGACGACAUGGUAAUCUACAGCGAGACAUUGGAGGAACAUGUCCAACAUGUGAGGCAAGUUUUUAAUCAGCUACGGGAAAAUGAACUAUAUGCCAAACCGUCUAAAUGCUCAUUUGCUCAGACAUCUAUCAGUUUCUUGGAUCACAUCAUUGAACAAGGUAAAAUCCGCAAAGAUUUGACGGAGGUUACAACCAUCAAAGAUUGGCAACCACCAAAAACCAUACAUGAUAUACAUUCAUUUCUUGGGUUAUGCAAUUACUAUCGAAAAUUUGUGAAAGGCUACUCAGAAUUGCACUGCCACUUAUCGAAUUGACAAAGAAGGAUAAGGAUUGGUAUUGGUCAUCCCAAUGCCAAAAUUGCUUUUGAAAGGUUGAAGAAGUCCAUGUAGACGAAUCGAUUUUAGUCUCAUCGGAUAUGACUAAACCAUUUGAAGUUCAUACAGAUGCUUCAGAUUUUACACUUGGUGGAGUCCUCAUGCAAAAAGGACAUCUGGUAGCAUAUGAGAGCCGGAAGUUAAACCAAACAGAACAUCGUUACUCGACACAUGAAAAGGAAUUGUUGGUAGUAGUCCAUUGUCUCAGAGGAUGGCGUCACUAUUUGCUUGGGUCUCUAUUUAUUGUGAAGACAGAUAACAUUGCAGUUUGUCAUUUCAUGUCCCAACCAAAACUAUCGAGCAAGCAGACUCGUUGGCAUGAAUUUCUUUCAGAGUUCAAUUUUAUGCUAGAGUAUCGUCUCAAAUCUAGUAAUCAUGUUGCUGAUGCUCUUAGUCAACAGGCCGGUUUGGUUGCCAUUUGCUCCGUAGCUGCUCUUUCAGGGUGCGCCAUCUCCACGAACACAAGAAACCAAAUUCGGGCACUUAUGGAGAAGGACCCGGCUACUUAGUUGACAUCAUCAAGCAGGGUAAAACUUGACAGUUCUGGCUCGAUGGGGAACUAGUGAAGACAAAGGGAGACCGCCUAUAUGUUCCUAAGGGCGGAGAUUUGAGGAAAUCACUAAUUACAGAAUGCCAUGACACGAUUUGGGCAGGGCAUCCCGGAGAGGAACGCACUUGUGCACUACUGCAACGUGCAUACUACUGGCCUCAAAUGCGGGACGACA